rnacentral:rRNA from 1 species
AUUGAACGCUGGCGGCAGGCCUAACACAUGCAAGUCGAGCGGAUGAAGGGAGCUUGCUCCUGGAUUCCGCGGCGGACGGGUGUGUAAUGCCUAGGAUUCUGCCUGGUAGUGGGGGAUAACGUCCGGAAAUGGGCGCUAAUACCGCAUACGACCUGCGGGAGAAAGUGGGGGAUCUUCGGACCUCACGCUAUCAGAUGAGUCUAGGUCGGAUUAGCUAGUUGGUGGGGUAAAGGCCUACCAAGGCGACGAUCCGUAACUGGUCUGAGCGGAGGAUCAGUCACACUGGAACUGGGACACGGUCCAGACUCCUACGGGAGGCAGCGGUGGGGAAUAUUGGACAAGGGGCGAAAGCCUGAUCCAGCCAUGCCGCGUGGGUGAAGAAGUUCUUCGGAUUGUAAAGCACGUUAAGUUGGGAGGAAGGGCAGUAAGGUAAUACCUUGCUGUUUUGACGUUACCAACAGAAUAAGCACCGGCUAACUUCGUG